rnacentral:lncRNA from 1 species
GAAAAAUCACAAUUUUAAAAGAAUGCUUAAAUACACAUGUUAAAUAGGUGCAUUGCUCAAGCAGAUUCAUGAAUGACCAGUAUGAAUAGGUGAUUGGAGACUGCUCCACACUUACAAAAAAUUCAGACUGCAGUUUGUGGCGAAGGUUCUCGUUAUCAUCUAGAAGUCUAGAGAUUUCAUUGUCCUUCUCCUCAAUCAUCUUAUCAGCAAGGUCACGAAAAGAAUCAAGCUCUUCCUACAAGUUAAAGAACUCGGUGUCACCAAACUAAAAAGUGUUAUGAUCAUACUGAUGAUUAUAAAUCACACCUUCAGUUUUUUGCAGCUUUGUUUGAGGUCAUCUAGUUCUUUUUGAACAUUAUCACCAGAGGUAACCACACUCUCUGCUUUAAAUGCAUCACAUUUCACUGCAAAACAGUAUCUAAAAUUAAUUUUCCAUUUGGAAGCUGAAUAAAU